rnacentral:misc_RNA from 1 species
AUAUGCGUUCUGUGCAGGUCUUUGGAUACGUCCCGUCGAUGUGGAAGCACCGCGACGGCCACGAGUGCCUUCGGUGUGAGACCCAUGCGCAUGCCAAAGGCUCUCUCUCCAACCACGAUGAACGCUUCGCCGCGAGUCUCGCUGCUCGAUUCAGGGCUCAGACUGGCAAUAUGCACGUAGACUGGUAUUCCGUCGGUCUCCAUGGUACCAGGAACCUGCUUUCCGUUUCCUCACUGUGAGCAGGCAACCCUGAACAUGCUUCGUUCGUGCUCUUAGCAGCGUUGUCCACAGAGACCAGCGGUCGCUCUCUGCGCAGACUAUGCAGUACACUGCAAGAUUGUCGACCGCGACGCAGAGGAACUCUCGGCGACGCAUAUGGUGGCUGUCCCAGGUGGUCGCUAGAGGAGGCUGGGGCGCUCGCAUUCGGAGAGCAAGGGCGCUUUUCUCUCGCGGAACCUGUUCAUGCUGAGGCUGUAGCACAAGGUGCGAGGAGGGCACGUACCACGUUUCGACCAACCCGUGGGUACGAUGUCCGUCGGUAUCAGGCUGCCAGCAAUACGAUGAGCUUUGAGGAUCGGGAUCGACUUGUGCGCUCUCAGUGACGUUUCCUCGGAACUCGCGACCACCUCGAUCGCUUUCGGCACCAGAAGCUCCUCAUUGACCUUCUUCGAUAUGCGAAGCAUUCUCUCCAUGUGUCCCGACUUUUCUCAACCAGGAACCUGAGGGUCCAACGUCCACGGAGCGCUCCAUUUUGACCUUGUCCCGCGCACGGUUUCGGUUUUCGAGGUUGGUCUGAUAUUUCUGGGCACGUGCGCUGUAGGUUUUUUUCGAUCGCCGACGAGGCAUGGCGACGCAUGAACAUCGACCGGACAACAUGUAUGAACAAAUCGCGGGUUUGACAGUCAGGCCGUGUUGCAUCUUCAGCCACACGCGCCAGUUGCGAUGUCGCAUGAGAGUUUGACUGAAAAGCUCUAGUGGAAUGUGGAUUUCCAGCAGCAGUGCUUCUGGAGCUCCCCAAAAGACACUUGAUUUGCGAAUUUUGUUCACGCGGGGGAGGCCAGGUAAGCCUUCUUCGAAUGCGAAGCAUUUCGAGCCCCGAUGGCGCCCUGAAUUUUAUACUUUGGAAGAUUCUCGCAGUUGAAGUUUUAUCGUGGGGAGACGCAGAGCACGAUUUCAGAUUUAUGUUUCUCCCCCGAACGCUUCCCCUUCACGCUGCUCGUUCUCCUCUGUUCAAGCGGAUCUUCCUCUUCUUGCAAGUCGGUAUCGUUUCCCAUAUUUGACCCUGGGGAUACCAUGCAUAAGGUCGCUAUGAUCUUCAGCCGUUCCUGUCUUCGGGAUUCAGACGCACCUGAUGGACGGUGGCACAGUGGCGCGUCUCUUCUAUACAUGUAUCUGCUAUUCCUUACGUACCUUUCCGUCACUGUCUCGGUUGCAGGCGCACCAGCGCAGCGAUGCACGCCUCCCUACUCCAUCCCGCGCACAAACAGUGGAGAACCAUGGCAGAUCAGCGCUGGCGAAGUUAGGGCAUGUCUUAGCGAAGAGCGGUGCCAUGAAUGUCAACCGCUGGUCCAUUGCUCCAUGAGCGAAAACGCGGCGUAUAACAGCAGCGAACAGAAAUUUUUCUGGAUUGAGCGCGGGACCACAGACUGAUAUGAAGCGGUACUCAACUCGAAGCUCAGUCGCGUGCUCUUUUGACGCCUUAGAGCAACGAAAAGCGACGGUGUCUAAAACGAGUAUAUGCUGC